rnacentral:ncRNA from 1 species
AGAUAAUCCCAGGCGACUGGGAAAAGGUCGAGUCAGGCUGAUUGGCUCGGCCCCUCUGCUGCCGAACCGCAAGGUUCGAGCCCGGAGGCAAGAUUCACCAAGUCCUCUGGCUGUGUUCGCGCACGGCCAGUCAACGCGACAUAGGACUUCGGCAGUGAGGAGCGAUUAGAAGCCGCUCCGAGCUGAGUCAAGUAACUCAAGCUGGUUUCGAGCUCGAGUGAAUCGCAGUUACCGAGAAGGUAUCCGGUUGCUACUGCGCAUCAGCACGGGCGAAUGACUCUGGCGGUCCAGCAAAUGCGGGAUCUGCCAAACGAAAGACGCUGAAAGGCGCGACAAAAAGAGCGUUCGCACUGGGAAGGACACGUGAUCUCGGCAGGAUCCGUGAAAACCUUCCGAAACGCCAGCGAUGUUCAAAACGACACCGCGGGCCAGAGAAAGAAAAGCAACCUGAGAGAGCAGAGGCGAGACCCGUGGUACCGGGCGAACGUUCCGCCAAAAGCGGGAGCUGACCCGGCACUAAGCGGUCAAGACGCGGACAACAUUCUCAGACGCGCCUUGACCUGGUUCGCAGGCCGGUGGCGCAACCACCAGCCGAAGCGAGCUGAAAAGCCUCACUCGAAAUCCAGCGGCGGCAACGCCCUGGACGGCCCUGCUACGAGGCCGGACACUCCGCUUGCCGUGGAGAAUAGCGUCGGGAAGCCGGCAGCCCGCUUCGGCGUGGCGCCUAAUGCCGGCACGGGAAAGAGAGCGUGGCGCACUCC